rnacentral:rRNA from 1 species
GAUGAACGCUAGCGGCAGGCCUAAUACAUGCAAGUCGAACGAGAUUAAGAGGCUUGCUUCUUAUGAAAGUGGCGCACGGGUGCGUAACGCGUAUGCAACCUACCUUAAUCAGGGGGAUAGCCCGAAGAAAUUCGGAUUAAGACCGCAUAAAAACACAGGAUAGCAUUAUCCAAUGUUCAAAUAUUUAUAGGAUUAAGAUGGGCAUGCGUGUCAUUAGCUAGUUGGCGGGGUAACGGCCCACCAAGGCGACGAUGACUAGGGGAUCUGAGAGGAUGACCCCCCACACUGGUACUGAGACACGGACCAGACUCCUACGGGAGGCAGCAGUAAGGAAUAUUGGUCAAUGGAGGGAACUCUGAACCAGCCAUGCCGCGUGCAGGAAGACAGCCCUCUGGGUCGUAAACUGCUUUUAUUCGGGAAUAAACCUUUCUACGUGUAGGAAGCUGAAUGUACCGAAGGAAUAAGGAUCGGCUAGCUCCGUG